CAAUAGCAGCAGAUAGCAGAAAGAAAGGGGAGAAGGGAGAUAGCUCGAGAAUGAAGAAGAGAAGAGAUCGCGCUGCGUCCUGCUGCUUCGCCACCGCAUCCUACAUCUGCCGCCAUCCAUGUCGCACGCAAGAGAGCCGUCGAGCUCGAAGGUGAAAGAUGCGCGUGAGAGAGGGAGGAGCCGCGCUGCUGCCGCCAUCCAACCGGCCUCGCCAUUGUUGUCAUUGUCAUUGCCGCCUCAAGCUCGUCGCCGUCAUAAGCUCAUCACGCUUUGUCACCGUCGCAAGCUCGUCUUCCUGCUUCGACCAUCAACGCCUCCUCGCCGUGAGUUGGUCUCUGGGCAGGUUCAAUGUGUAGGUUGCCUGUUGAAGAAAAUACUGCAAGUCAUUGAGUUGCGUGUUUCACAUCAAGCAGAAAGCAUAAAAAAUGUAAAAUUAACUUUAUAUGUUCAUUGCUUCCCUAGUAACUAUUUGAGUGAUUGGAACUACAGAAACCCUGCCUGCCUCCUCUCACUUGUUCAAUUCUUGAGGGAAUAGAAAUGCAUAUGAGUUCUAUUGCUGAGAAGCUUGAACAAAGUAAAUUUGAGGAGAAGAAGAAACUUGAAAAUUAGGAAUUUUUCAGAAACCAGAUCCUUGAAUUGGAAGAAUAAGGAGCAUACUUACCUAAGUUUUGUGGAUUGCCAAUCUAGAGCUUUUCAGGAAUUGAGAGUUUUAAUGAAGUCUGUCAAAAAUGAAGUGGUAAAAACAAAAAGAAGCUACUUUGGUGCUGAGCUUUCAAAUGGUAAAGUGGCUAAAACAAAAGUUCUCGAGUGAUUAGAAGAAAGAAUAGCAAUACCAGAAACAAGUUAUCCUGGCAGAGUCUGAAUUGUAUUGCUCUCACGCCUUUGGAACAAUUCUGUUAAUAAAGUCUACUUAGUGUUAGUGUAUAUAUCACUGUAUAAAACUGAGAUUGAGACAAUGUAUUCACUCAACUAUAUUGAUAUGCUAG